UCUUCUUUCUUUCUUCUUCCUUUGUUUUUACACUACAGCACCAUCUCACAACAGCCCCAAUCCAUUUCUUUCACUGAAAAUCAUAGAUAUCUCUCUAUAAGAGGAAAUCAAACUCUUACUAAAGUUUAGCUUCAGUUGUGGUGACGAGAACAAAAACAUGGACACUUGAGCUCCUUUUGUACAAUCUUUCGCGUCUUUUGUUUUCAGUGCACAAGUUCUUCCUGGAAGCAGUGAGAGUGUUAGAGGUGGCAAGGAUUCUGUGAUUCUCAUUUGUUAGAAUGUAGAAUUUUUUUGUUGUAUAGCAGUUUAGCUCUUUUGUUAUAUAGGAGGAAUCAAGAUGUACUUGAUUCUUGAACACAAAUGUAAUUCAAUAUUUUAGUUUGUUUUGAACCCCAGUUGUAUGUCUUUGGGGUUAGGUUUAUAAUAAGAGUUUUGCUAAACGUUUAGCUAUGUAAUAUUUACACGAAUACCUGACGUUUCAACCAAGUGGUAAUCUUUCCAAGUUCACAUGAAAUGAAUUUUCAAGGUUUUCAUCAUU